rnacentral:tRNA from 1 species
GAGGGUAUAGGUCAGUAGUAAAGUGCAUGCUUAGCAUGCAUGAGGUCCUGGGUUCAACCCCCAGUACCUCCA